rnacentral:rRNA from 1 species
GUUGAACCGGUCGAAGAUACCAGCUGGCUGCAACUGUUUAUUAAAAACACAGCACUCUGCAAACACGAAAGUGGACGUAUAGGGUGUGAUGCCUGCCCGGUGCUGGAAGGUUAAUUGAUGGUGUCAUCGAAAGAGAAGCACCUGAUCGAAGCCCCAGUAAACGGCGGCCGUAACUAUAACGGUCCUAAGGUAGCGAAAUUCCUUGUCGGGUAAGUUCCGACCUGCACGAAUGGCAUAAUGAUGGCCAGGCUGUCUCC